UCGCGCGGGUAUCCUGUGGUGUCACAAUCCAUCCAUCCAGUCAAUCGCGCAACUCCCAGGCCCCCUCGGUCUUACGUUUUUACGUAUUUUAUUUUUUUUACCGCCAUCAGAGUUCGUAUGUUCACAGCAAAAAAGGCAGAUUGAAGAUAGUAUUUAAUGAGAAAAUAUGCGUAGUCAAAUGGGCUGAAAUCUUCGAGGAACCGUUUGGUCUGAAGUACGAGCCGAUAGUAAAAUCUACCCGAGUGUUCGUGAAUCCCGUCCGUUGCAGCAGCAAAAAGAGGACUACUUAGAAGCUCUACACUACCAUUCUAAUAAUAUUCCUUCACGUCUAUAUCUAUGGAGAUCUAUAAGGAGAUCCUGAGAAGAAAGGGCCUUAGAUUGAUGUAUGUUUUUAGCUAUAAAAAUAAUUCACUUGUGUCGACGAGUUUCUUGCUAGCAGAAAGUCGACAAGUUCACAGUUUACAACAAAAAGCGAACACAACCACGCAAACGACAAACAGAAAGCGACAAAAAACACUGCCAAGGUAAAACCAACCAAGGACUACCCGAGGGCCAUGAUUGAUGCUGAAGGCUGGGAGGCAUGAGAAUAGGCAAAUGUCUUAAAGAUAAUAAAGUAGGGGAUUUCUUACUUUGA